CGGAGACGGACGCAGCAGAGGACGGAGGACGGAUCAGAGGACGGAUCAGAGGACAGAGGCAGGAUCUUCAUCUUCAUCAUCUUCAUCAUGGACGCUCUGAGGAAGGGAUUCUCCAUGGCCAAGGACGGCGUGGUCGCCGCCGCUGAGAAGACCAAGGCCGGCGUGGGCGAGGCCGCCACCAAGACCAAGGACGGGGUCGUGUAUGUGGGAAACAAGACGAUGGAGGGAAUGGUGACGAGCGUGAACACAGUUGCUCAGAAAUCCACUGAACAGGCCAACGUUGUUGCCGACACUGCGGUUGCCGGGGCCAACGAGGUUGCCCAGGCGACGGUGGAGAGCGUGGAGAACGCGGCGCUGGCGAGCGGAUUGGUCCAGACGACUGCAGUCCCUAAAGCAGCAGAUCAGCCUGAACCUGCAGCUCAGUAGAUUCAGUGAACAUGUCAAGUAACUGAUUCAGGGGGCCAGCCUGGUGGAGGGAGGGGCCUUCACCAGGCCUUCACCAGGCCUUCACCAGGUCUUCUUCCUUUGAGCCUCAUUAUGACAGCAAGCCGCCGUCACAGAGGAGAGAAGAAGAAACUCAAAGCUAACCUGCUAAUCAGCUGUUCCUCCUCUGCAUCGUUAACCUCAUUAACCAAUCAGAGCUCUGACUGCCUUGUUGCCAUGGUUACAUGGUUUCCCUCCUGGUUAUGCUUGGAUGAUUUCGUGCUUUCAGAUGAUUGGCUCAUUGGAGUGGAUGUAUUGAACUCCUGCUGCUCACCUGUGCUGUCUACCUGUAAGCCCCGCCCCCUGAUCCGGCUCUAAUGCAUGAAGCUUCACUGAAACAGAAACAGACUGAUGGAGUUUACUCUGAUUCAGGCUCAGCUGGUUGAAUCUUUUAUAAACUACAAGAAAUAAAGAGUUUAAAAUCCA